rnacentral:rRNA from 1 species
UCAAGUUAUUAAGGGUGCAGGGCGGAUGCCUUGGCACUAGGAGCCGAUAUGAAGGACGUGAUAAGCUGCGAUAAGCUUCGGGGAGUUGCACGUAAACUUUGAUCCGAAGAUUUCCGAAUGAGGAAACUCACUUAGAGUAAUGUCUAAGUAUCAUUAAGUGAAUACAUAGCUUAAUGAGGGGAACUCAGGGAACUGAAACAUCUAAGUACCUGAAGGAAGAGAAAGAAAUUCGAUUCCGUAAGUAGCGGCGAGCGAACGCGGAUUAGCCCAAACCAAUAAAGUUUUCUUUAUUGGGGUUGCGGACAUAUCAUAACGAAGAGGUAUCGUAAUUGAAGAGGUUUGGAAAGACCCACCACAGAAGGUAAUAGUCCUGUAUGUUAAACGAGAAGACUUUAGAUAUGAUCCAGAGUACCACGGGACACGUGAAACCCUGUGGGAAGCAGGAGGGACCACCCUCCAAGGCUAAAUACUACCUAGUGACCGAUAGCGUAUAGUACCGUGAGGGAAAGGUGAAAAGAACCCCGGGAGGGGAGUGAAAUAGAACCUGAAACCCUGCACUUACAAGCUGUGGAAGCACAUUUCUUGUGUGACCGCGUACUUUUUGUAGAACGGGCCAACGAGUUACGUUAAGUAGCAAGGUUAAGCACUUAAGGUGCGGAGCCGUAGCGAAAGCGAGUUUUAACUGAGCGUUCAGUUACUUGACGUAGACCCGAAACCGGGCGACCUACCCAUGAGCAGGAUGAAGCGAAAGUAAAAUUUCGUGGAGGUCCGAACCCACGAGCGUUGAAAAGCUCGGGGAUGACUUGUGGGUAGCGGUGAAAUUCCAAUCGAGCCCGGAGAUAGCUGGUUCUCCCCGAAAUAGCUUUAGGGCUAGCCUCAAGGUGAGAGAUACGGAGGUAGAGCACUGAAUGUCCUAGGGGGUAUUGCACCUACCGAAGACUAUCAAACUCCGAAUGCCGUCAUCUUAUACUUGGGAGUCAGACUGUGGGUGAUAAGAUUCAUAGUCGAAAGGGCAACAGCCCAGAUCGUCAGCUAAGGUCCCUAAAUGUAAGUUAAGUGGUAAAGGAUGUGGGAUUGCACAGACAACCAGGAUGUUGGCUUAGAAGCAGCCACUCAUUCAAAGAGUGCGUAAUAGCUCACUGGUCGAGUGAUCCUGCGCCGAAGAUUUCCGGGGCUAAAACUUACUACCGAAGCUACGGCAUCAGUAAUGAUGGGUAGGGGAGCUUCCCAUACGGGUUGAAGCAUGACCGUAAGGACAUGUGGACAGUAUGGGAGUGAGAAUGUUGGCAUGAGUAGCGAGAUGUGGGUGAGAAUCCCACAGGCCGUAAACCCAAGGUUUCCAGGGGAAGGUUCGUCCGCCCUGGGUUAGUCGGGACCUAAGCUGAGGCCGAAAGGCGUAGGUGAUGGACAACAGGUUGAUAUUCCUGUACUACCGAUAACCGUUUGAGAGAAGGGAUGACACAGUAGGAUAAGCUAAGCACACUGUUGGUUAUGUGUGCCCAAGCAUUGAGGCAGUCAAAGUAGGCAAAUCCGCUUUGAUAAUGCUGGGAUGUGAUGGGGAGCGAAAUUUAGUAGCGAAGUAGCUGAUUUCACACUGUCAAGAAAAGUCUCUAUCGAGGUUAAAGGUACCCGUACCGCAAACCGACACAGGUGGGUGAGGAGAGUAUCCUAAGGCCAGCGAGAGAACUGUUGUUAAGGAACUCGGCAAAAUGACCCCGUAACUUAGGGAUAAGGGGUGCCACCAUCAGGUGGCCGCAGAGAAUAGGCCCAAGCGACUGUUUACCAAAAACAUAGGUUUCUGCUAAGUCGCAAGACGAUGUAUAGGAGCUGACGCCUGCCCGGUGCUGGAAGGUUAAGGGGAUCUGUUAGAGCAAUCGAAGCAGUGAACUUAAGCCCCAGUAAACGGCGGCCGUAACUAUAACGGUCCUAAGGUAGCGAAAUUCCUUGUCGGGUAAGUUCCGACCCGCACGAAAGGCGUAACGAUUUGGGCACUGUCUCAACAACAGACUCGGUGAAAUUGUAAUUCCGGUGAAGAUGCCGGAUACCUGCGACAGGACGGAAAGACCCCAUGGAGCUUUACUGUAGCUUGACAUUGGGUCUUGGUACUACAUGUACAGGAUAGGUGGGAGGCUUUGAAACCAGGACGCCAGUUUUGGCGGAGCCAUCCUUGGGAUACCACCCUUGUAGUACUGGGACUCUAACCAUAGGCCAUGAAUCUGGUCUUGGGACACUGUCAGGUGGGCAGUUUGACUGGGGCGGUCGCCUCCCAAAAGGUAACGGAGGCGCUCAAAGGUUCUCUCAGUACGGUCGGAAAUCGUACGUAGAGUGUAAAGGCAAAAGAGAGCUUGAUUGCAAGACAUACAGGUCGAGCAAGGAUGAAAAUCGGACUUAGUGAUCCGGUGGUUCUGCGUGGAAGGGCCAUCGCUCAACGGAUAAAAGCUACCCUGGGGAUAACAGGCUUAUCUCCCCCAAGAGUCCACAUCGACGGGGAGGUUUGGCACCUCGAUGUCGGCUCAUCACAUCCUGGGGCUGUAGUAGGUCCCAAGGGUUGGGCUGUUCGCCCAUUAAAGUGGUACGCGAGCUGGGUUCAGAACGUCGUGAGACAGUUCGGUCCCUAUCCGUCGCAGGCGUAGGAAAUUUGAGAAGACCUGUCCUUAGUACGAGAGGACCGGGAUGGACGUACCUCUGGUGUACCAGUUGUCCUGCCAAGGGCAUGGCUGGGUAGCUAUGUACGGAAUGGAUAAGCGCUGAAAGCAUCUAAGCGCGAAGCCAACUUCAAGAUAAGAUUUCCCACCGCAAGGGUAAGACCCCAGAAAGACUAUCUGGUUGAUAGGUCGAAGGUGUAAGUGCAGCAAUGUAUUUAGCUUAUCGAUACUAAUAGGUCGAGGACUUGACCAA